GGCGAACGGGUGCGUAACGCGUAUGCAACCUACCUUUAACUGGAGGAUAGCCCCGAGAAAUCGGGAUUAAUACUCCAUAACAUCCAAGUUUCACCUGAUUUUUGGAUUAAAGCUCCGGCGGUUAAAGAUGGGCAUGCGUGACAUUAGUUAGUUGGUGAGGUAACGGCUCACCAAGACAGCGAUGUCUAGGGGUUCUGAGAGGAUUAUCCCCCACACUGGUACUGAGACACGGACCAG
rnacentral:rRNA from 1 species